rnacentral:rRNA from 1 species
GAAUAUUGGUCAAUGGAGGGAACUCUGAACCAGCCAUGCCGCGUGCAGGAUGACUGCCCAUGGGUUGUUAAAUGCCUUUGUCCCGGAAUUAACAACACCUCGUUUAGUGGCCUGAAUGUACUUGGAAGAUAAGGAUCGGCUCACUCCGUGCCAGCAGCCGCGGUAAUACGGAGGAUCCGAGCGUUAUCCGGAUUUAUUGGGUUUAAAGGGUGCGUAGGCGGCUCAUUAAGUCAGGGGUGAAAGACGGCAGCUCAACUGUCGCAGUGCCUUUGAUACUGAUGAGCUUGAAUGUGGUUGAAGAUGGCGGAAUGAGACAAGUAGCGGUGAAAUGCAUAGAUAUGUCUCAGAACUCCGAUUGCGAAGGCAGCUGUCUAAGUCAUUAUUGACGCUGAUGCACGAAAGCGUGGGGAUCGAACAG